AGCGAACGCUGGCGGCAGGCCUAAUACAUGCAAGUCGAGCGGGUCCUUCGGGACUAGCGGCGGACGGGUGAGUAACGCGUGGGAACGUGCCCUUUGGUACGGAACAACUGAGGGAAACUUCAGCUAAUACCGUAUGUGCCCUUCGGGGGAAAGAUUUAUCGCCAUUGGAGCGGCCCGCGUUGGAUUAGGUAGUUGGUGAGGUAAAGGCUCACCAAGCCUACGAUCCAUAGCUGGUCUGAGAGGAUGACCAGCCACACUGGGACUGAGACACGGCCCAGACUCCUACGGGAGGCAGCAGUAGGGAAUCUUGCGCAAUGGGCGAAAGCCUGACGCAGCCAUGCCGCGUGAAUGAUGAAGGUCUUAGGAUUGUAAAAUUCUUUCACCGGGGACGAUAAUGAC
rnacentral:rRNA from 1 species